GAAGAAUUAGUUAAAAUAUAAUUUAAGUUUGUCAAACUUAAGUUGCCUCUAUGGCAUUCUUUU
rnacentral:tRNA from 2 species